CUACAAUUGCCAGUUGCCUAAAGUUUUUCACAUGCAAAGCUUAAAAAUACACCUGGGCACUCUUCAAGAACAUGAACAUUCCCAUACUUGCUUUGAAUAAAUCAUUAAUCAUCAAAUGACAUAAGACAUGUACGUUCUAAUAUUGCAUAAUCCAACUAGACCACAUAUUUUCAGAUUAAACUAACGCCAUUCCCUAAAGGAGCUCUUAUGUUUAGAUAAUUAUUUAUGCUAGGGUCACUAAUGCUUCUUUGUUUUUGUUUUUGUUUUUAUUUUCCUUCACUGAGCCGAGGGUCGAUUGGAAACAGCCUGUCUGCCCUUUUGGGUAGGGGUAAGAUCCGUUUACAUAUUACCCUCCCCAGACCCCACUUUGUGGGACUAUACUGGGUAGUUGUUAUUGUAGUAUCUAUGGCCUCAAUAAAUCGAACCCAACACUAGUCAUGCCAACUCAAUAUGCUUAUCUCAUAUUAUAUAUGAAUUAUAUUGAUAUGCAUUCAAUUUAUAUUUACAAAUAUCAAAUUUACUUUAAAGAACUACAAUUACCAGUUGCCUAAAAGUUUUUCACAUCCAAUGCUUAAAAUUCCAAUAUUGCAUAAUCCAACUAGACCACAUAUUUUCAGAUUAAACUAACGCCAUUCCCUAAAGGAGGACACCUCUUUUGUUUCAACUACAAUCCCAAUUCCAAAAUCAAAUUCAAGUUGAAUAGCUAGGACAAUAUCAAGAGUGACAACAAAUUUCACCUAGCCAAGGACAUAAGGGUGUGGCUAGCAACUAAAAA
rnacentral:lncRNA from 1 species